CUAGAUAGAUGAUUCUGAGAGUUGGAUAAAUGAAUAGCUAAUUCCUUGUAAGACAUGUAAAACUCUAUAUAUAAAUUGUCUGGUUAUUCAAUUCUUUUGGGAUGAGAAAUCAAUGAAAAAUUGCAUAUGUAUUGCCAGCGCUGUAAAGGACCAUGCAUCUCCUGCAAGUAGAUUUGACAAAUAAUUAUCUCAUAACCAUGAAUAUUUAAAGACGUGGGAUCAUUAUACGUUUAUGUCUAUUAAUAUUAUUUUAAUAUUAGACUUCUUAUAAUAACUGUAUUACAUUAAAAAGUUUAGCCGUAUCCAAACCACUGUGUCCUAGAUCCGGUUGUUGGCACCUUAUGCCUCUACCAGCAAAACUCCAUUGACGUUCUUUAGUGCCGCCUUAAAAGAAUUAACACUAUUAUAGAAUGUACACAUGAGGUAUCAGUUCAGCUUUUAGACAAUCUCUCUUGAUGCCUACUUGGGUAAUUUUUACUAACUGUUUCUAAUCCGAAUUCUACUACUUUAAGCAUAUGUCAGAAGCACCAAACUUUAUGAUCAUAAAACCAGAAUCUACAUCACCCUAAAGCAGAUGCAGAGACCACACAUUAGAUGAAACUUUCUACAGCCCAAUCAAGCAAAUACAAAAACAACUCUCCAAUCUAGCAAAAUAAUGAAGCAAUCUUUACCAUCAUCCACCCAAAACAUAGUCAAAGAAACUCUAUAAACAGAUCAACAGCAAGUAAUUAAUAAAAAUAAAUAUAUAAUAUGUGAGUGGGAAAAUAAAUAAUAAUAAUAAUAAUAUAAAUAAUAUCAAUAUUUAUUUAUAAUAGAUAAGUAUGUAACUUUUAAUUUAAAUAGGUAAUAAAAGAAGCAAGGAAUACAUUAAAGGGAGAGUAUGUAACUUAUAAUUUAAUAGUAUGUAGAGGCAAAACUCCAUUGACGUUCUUUAGUGCCGCCUUAAAAGAAUUAACACUAUUAUAGAAUGUACACAUGAGGUGUCAGUUCAGUUGUAAGACAAACUCUCUUGAUGCCUACUUGGGUAAUUUUUACUAACUGUUUCUAAUCCGAAUUCUACUACUUUAAGCAUAUGUCAGAAGCACCAAACUUUACGAUCAUAAAACCAGAAUCUACAUCUAAAGCAGAUGCAGAGACCACACAUUAGAUGAAUCUUUCUACAGCCCAAUCAAGCAAAUAAAAAAAACAACAUUCCAAUCGAGCAAAAUAAAGAACCAAUCCUUACCAUCAUCCACCAAAAACAUAGUCAAAGAAACUCUAUAAACAAAUCAACAGCAAGUAAUUAAUAAAAUUAAAUAUAUAAUAUGUGAGUGGGAAAAUAAAUAAUAAUAAUAAUAAUAAUAAUAUAAAUAAUAUCAAUAUUUAUUUAUAAUAGAUAAGUAUGUAACUUUUAAUUUAAAUAGGUAAUAAAAGAAGCAAGGAAUACAUUAAAGGGAGACUAUGUAACUUAUAAUUUAAUAGUAUGUGGUUACCUGCUAUAUCUUUUUCGUAUAUAGGGAUUUAGUUUAAUACAUGGAUUAUGCAUUCACCUCUAUUUUUGACAUCAUUUAAAUAGUAUUGUGAUGUUGCUCAAUCUGUUCGCCGAAAAUUAAGGCAGGUUAGUGAUAAAAUUAUAUAGUGAUGUGAAGAAAACAUGCUGUUAAAUUAGGACACCAUUGUUUUAGUUUGCUGGACAACUAAACUUAUAUAUUCACCUACAUAUUAAAAUGCAAAACAGCUGAGGCAUAAGAAUAAUUUAGUCAUAUUAAAAUUUAUAUUUGCAUCAUAAGAAUAAUUAAGUCAUAGUAAAAUUUAUAUUUGCAUCAAUAAGCACACAUGUAAAGCGAUAUGAAAUGAAAGGAAAAUAUAAAAACCGUACACUG
rnacentral:lncRNA from 1 species